rnacentral:rRNA from 1 species
GGACUACAAGGGUAUCUAAUCCUGUUUGCUCCCCUUGCUCUCGCGCCUCAGCGUCAGGUAUAAGCUAGAAAACCGCUUUCGCCACAGGUGUUCUUCCACAUAUCUACGCAUUUCACCGCUACACGUGGAAUUCCAUUUUCUCCGCCAAUCCUCCAGACUAGUAGUUUCAAAUGCAGUUCCAAAGUUGAGCUUUGGAUUUUCACACUCGACUUACUUGCCCGCCUACACGCCCUUUACGCCCAAUAAAUCCGAUUAAUGCUUGCACCCUCCGUAUUACCGCGGCUGCUGGCAC